rnacentral:lncRNA from 1 species
GUGAACCUUUUCAAAUACCUACUUGUGACGAUUACGUUUACCAUUUGAUUUAUUACUCGCGAUUUAUUCAUGGUUUGUGGAAACAAUUUGAGAGGAUUGAAUGCUUUAAAACAUGUCCAUCUUUCAAUAUGGCUGACUUGUCCCCAUUUGAUUUUUCAGAUUCGAGGACGAAUCUUUUUGAGGAAGGGGGGAAUGAUACGAGUCACAGAGGCCCAACCCAAAUUCUUGAAGGCAAGGCCCAAUAAGAAGAUUCCAAGCCCAAUCAAGAAAUCCA